rnacentral:rRNA from 1 species
CGGGCGGGGCUAAUACAUGCAGUCGAGCGAACAGAUAAGGAGCUUGCUCCUUUGACGUUAGCGGCGGACGGGUGAGUAACACGUGGGUAACCUACCUAUAAGACUGGAAUAACUCCGGGAAACCGGGGCUAAUGCCGGAUAACAUUUAGAACCGCAUGGUUCUAAAGUGAAAGAUGGUUUUGCUAUCACUUAUAGAUGGACCCGCGCCGUAUUAGCUAGUUGGUAAGGUAACGGCUUACCAAGGCAACGAUACGUAGCCGACCUGAGAGGGUGAUCGGACACGCUGGAACUGAGACACGGUCCAGACUCCUACGGGAGGCAGCAGUAGGGAAUCUUCCGCAAUGGGCGAAAGCCUGACGGAGCAACGCCGCGUGAGUGAUGAAGGUCUUCGGAUCGUAAAACUCUGUUAUUAGGGAAGAACAAAUGUGUAAGUAACUGUGCACGUCUUGACGGUACCUAAUCAGAAAGCCACGGCUAACUACGUGCCAGCAGCCGCGGUAAUACGUAGGUGGCAAGCGUUAUCCGGAAUUAUUGGGCGUAAAGCGCGCGUAGGCGGUUUCUUAAGUCUGAUGUGAAAGCCCACGGCUCAACCGUGGAGGGUCAUUGGAAACUGGAAACUUGAGUGCAGAARAGGAAAAGUGGAAUUCCUGUGUAGUGGUGAAAUGCG